GGGCCCGCACAAGCAGCGGAGCAUGUGGUUUAAUUCGAAGCAACGCGAAGAACCUUACCAGGGCUUGACAUCCCUUGACAGUCAUGGAAACAUGAUUUCUCUUCGGAGCAAGGAGACAGGUGGUGCAUGGUUGUCGUCAGCUCGUGUCGUGAGAUGUUGGGUUAAGUCCCGCAACGAGCGCAACCCCUACCCUUAGUUACCAGCGCGUAAAGGCGGGAACUCUAGGGGGACCGCCGAGGACAACUCGGAGGAAGGUGGGGACGACGUCAAAUCAUCAUGCCCCUUAUGUUCUGGGCUACACACGUGCUACAAUGGCCGCAACAAAGGGAAGCGAAAGUGUAAGCUUAAGCGGAUCUCAAAAAAGCGGUCCCAGUUCGGAUUGUGGGCUGCAACCCGCCCACAUGAAGUCGGAGUUGCUAGUAAUCGCGAAUCAGCAUGUCGCGGUGAAUACGUUCCCGGGCCUU
rnacentral:rRNA from 1 species